rnacentral:rRNA from 1 species
AUACGGAGGGGGCUAGCGUUGUUCGGAUUUACUGGGCGUAAAGCGCACGCAGGCGGUAUAUCAAGUUAGGCGUGAAAGCCCCGGGCUCAACCCGGGAACUGCGCUUAUUACUGAUAAACUAGAGUCCGGGAGAGGGUAGCGGAAUUCCCAGUGUAGAGGUGAAAUUCGUAGAUAUUGGGAAGAACACCAGUUGCGAAGGCGGCUACCUGGACCGGUACUGACGCUGAGGUGCGAAAGCGUGGGGAGCAAACAGGAUUAGAAACCCCAGUAGUCC